ACCCAGAUUUUAGUUUUAAUUAAGCUUUUUAGUAGUCAUUAGUUAAUCUUUUGUGUUUAGUAAAAAGUGGGUCUCAUUACAAAAUACAAUUCGUUGAUUGCAAUUAUUUAAGUGAAAUGUUUAAUCCAACGAUCAUGUUUAGUAAACAUUACACGCUAUGUUAUGUUUAUGCGAGGGGAGGAGUUUAUUCGAAAUUUGAACAUCGCUGUUAGUGUCAACCGUCCUGUGGCUGCUGCGCGCUGAAACCAACUGAGACAGAGGAUUUUUCUGGAACGGAGGGCUUUUGGAGUGCGACUUCAUACCAAGUGACAGACUAAUGAGCCAGCUGACAUCUGCACACUGGUGCUCAGAGGACUUCCUCUUCUGCUUGGUGACAAGCCUACAGACGUCUACAAAACAUGCAUUGGUGAUGAUGGUGACUCGCUCCACCAAGUUGACAUUGGGAUCCUCAUUGUUGAACACGAAGGUACCGAGCUGUCGCCUCCCCUCAAUUACAGUCCAUCAUCCUUUAAGAUUGUCAUUGAGGGAGAACCUGUCGUGGACAGUCUUCAGGACUUGCCAAAGGCUGUGUGCAUCCUGUUUGGACUGAUGUACGCAUUACACCUUAACUAUCCCAAGUCCAUGAAAAACACCUUCCACUUCAUCCAGCAGGUGCUCCUGAUGUUGGGCCAUACUGACCUGAAACCUAGAUUACAUUACAUUACAAACCAGCUGACAAUUUAAAGGAAAAAUAUAUACAGGGCCAUAUCAGAAAGCCUCAAGUUGUACCUGUUUGGUCUCCCUGUAUUGAGGUGCAAAUAUUUGUUCUGACCACUAUUUUGUUAAAAACAAUAAUGAAUGCAAUGCUUUUACUGCUCUUUAUUCUGCAUUCUAUUAGAUCUGAUGCAGACAUAUCUCCAGCUGAUGAUUGUUUAUAUUAUUCUUUCAUGUUUAAUCAUUUGUAUUCUGAUAUUCUAUGAAAGACCAGAGAAAUUCUUCUGUUUUCAUAUAAACAGUUUGUUUGAAAUAAUACAAAAAAGCAUCAAGAAAUGAUGUUCCCAGUAUUGUAUUGAAGAACUUACCUGUCUUGACCAUUAAACCAACAACCUGGCCUCAACCUUUAAACUUUACUAAGACAGGAAAAAAAAGUUUUGAUUUUUGUUUGUCCACUGUAAACUUGUGCCACUGUAUUCACUGUUCCUUUGAGUCCAGACAGUUAAACCGUUUUAAUGCCUCUUUUUAACCUGUUUUUACAAAUGUGACAAGUUAAUGUUGCAGCCAAUUAUUUAGAAAAUAAAACAUGUUGAAUCCAAUGAAUUGAUGUUCUGGAUUAUUAUUUCUUUCUUAUUUUAUUGUAUAAAAUACAAUAAUAAAAAACUACUAAAAAUUACUUUAAAAAUCAUUUUAAGUAAUGAGAAAUAAUACAUAUUAGGUUUUUUGAUAUAUAUAUAUAUAUGUAUGUUGAAUUUAAAAUAGUAAUUUUUUACAGACUCGAAAAAGAAACAAAUUAGUCAUGUGAGCUAAGUAUUUUUAGUAAAGACUAUUGCAUUUAAUUAAUGUGUUGCGUUAAUACAACUUAAAAUCCCUAGUUUAACCACUGUGUAAAAACUUAAACCAUUUAAGGCAAUCGGUUUCCACGCGUUGUUCUAGUAAAGUCAACUAAUUUGGGUUAA